CUAUACUCUCGCCAGCGGUCCCCUCAUCGGGGCCCUUGCCCCAGUCGUGGCAACGGGUUUUGGCUUUCGCCACGCCCCUGCCCUCUGGAGUCAACGGCAUGGCGGAUUCCGAUCCGCGGUGCUGUUCGGCCCGCCGGCCAGGUGCCUGCACCCGGCCGGAGCGGUGGACCUCCACCUCCACCUCGACCCCGUCCCUCGAGGAACGUCUCGAUGA
rnacentral:ncRNA from 1 species